UACGAAGGGGGCAAGCGUUGUUCGGAAUUACUGGGCGUAAAGCGCACGUAGGCGGCAUUGCAAGUCGGAUGUGAAAUCCCUCGGCUUAACCAAGGAAGUGCAUCCGAAACUGCAGUGCUUGAGUACUUAAGAGGAUCGCGGAAUUCCCGGUGUAGAGGUGAAAUUCGUAGAUAUCGGGAGGAACACCAGUGGCGAAGGCGGCGAUCUGGGAAGAUACUGACGCUGAGGUGCGAAAGCGUGGGGAGCAAACAGG
rnacentral:rRNA from 1 species